rnacentral:rRNA from 1 species
ACGCUCGACACCUACGGGGGCAGCAGUGGGGAAUAUUGGGCAAUGGGCGCAAGCCUGACCCAGCAACGCCGCGUGAAGGAAGAAGGCCCUCGGGUUGUAAACUUCUUUUGUCAGGGACGAAGCAAGUGACGGUACUUGACGAAUAAGCCACGGCUAACUACGUGCAAGCAGCCGCGGUAAUCUGAGCGGGCUGGCAAGGC